rnacentral:rRNA from 1 species
AUUGAACGCUAGCGGCAUGCCUAACACAUGCAAGUCGAACGAGUGGCGGACGGGUGAGUAAUAUAUGGGAACGUGCCCGAUAGAGGGGGAUAUCUACUGGAAACGGUGGCUAAUACCGCAUACUAUUGGAUCAACCCAUAUGGGAUUAGCUAGUUGGUGGGGUAAAGGCUCACCAAGGCGACGAUCUCUAGCUGGUGUGAGAGGAUGAUCAGCCACACUGGGACUGAGAAACGGCCCAGACUCCUACGGGAGGCAGCAGUGGGGAAUAUUGCACAAUGGGCGAAAGCCUGAUGCAGCCAUGCCGCGUGUAUGAAGAAGGCCUUAGGGUUGUAAAGUACUUUCAGCGGGGAGGCGGUAUCCGCAGAAGAAGCACCGGCUAACUACGUGCCAGCAGCCGCGGUAAUAC